CAUGUUUCCUCCAAGCUUGCUGUGUGCAGGAUACUUUGCUGCAUUAACUAUGCAGUGCCUUAUUGUAUGCAAGUAUUUGCUCCAUUUAUUUUCACGACAAGGUUUCAAAAGAAAACUCUUAAUACAUCCGGUGAGGGCCUUUCCACUUGAAAAAAAAUGCCAAACACUUAACCUGACUGAAAAUGUAUCACCAAAGUGCUUGGCUUCUGGCAUAAAGCAGGGACUAUGUAUAAACACGUCCUAAAAAUAGAUAAAACAAGAGCAAGGAGCCCAGAAGGGUAAAGUUGUCCUUUAGAUACAGUCAUGGUGACAACCCAAGCAGUGCCAGAGGAUAAAGCAAGCUGCACCAGGCUUCAAGUCAACAGACAUUUACUGAACUCCAGUUCUGCAUGGGGCACUGUGAUAGUUGCUUUGGGGGAUACAAAGAUGAGUGAGACAUCAUUUCUGCCCUCAAGAAAUUUAUAAGGGGAGACGGAGAUACACAGAAUUGCCAUACAAGGCAGGAUGCAUUAAGUGCAUGAAGAGAGAUAUAACUAAAGUGCUUAGGGACAUGCAGGAGAAAGUGGUUAAUUUUUACCAUAAAUAUCAGGGAAGGCUUCAUGCAAAAGACAGGCUUUGAGUUUUUCCUGUAAGUUUAUAUCAGAUUCUGAGAGGCAGAGAUAUGGGAAAGAGUGAGGUAAACAGCACAUAAGAACAGUCAUGAAGAAGGCAAUUUCACUGUGCAGUAUUUAGAGCUUGAGUCAGAAAAGCAGGUCCACUAGAAGUGGGAGCUGGUUGCUAUACACUGAAUGUUUGCAGUCCACAAAAUCCAUAUGUUGAAACCCUAAUCUCCAGUGUGAUGGUAUUUGGAGGUUGGGCCUUUGGGAGGUAACUGGGCUUGGACGAGGUCAUGGGGGUGGAACUCACGAUGGAACUGGAGCCUUUACAAGGGAAUGAAGAGACAAGAGCUCUCUUUAUGCCCCGUGAGGAUACAGCAAGACCCCAAUCUGCAAGCCAGGAAGAGUCCUCAUGAGAACCAGACCAUGCGGGAACUCUGAUCAUGGACAUUUCAGCCUCCACAACUGUGAACAAAAAUGCAUAUGUAUCUUUGGAAGAAACUCGGAAGUAAAGGCGAGAAGAUUCUUUGUUUAAAACAUUAAAAACAAAACAGACCAAAAUAUCAAGCAAGAAGUUUUCUGGCAAUAAACUAAGCACAGCAUUAUUUUUUAAGGAACACAAGCUAAAUGUUCAACCUGUGGCAAAUUUGUACUUUCUCCCUGAAUUAUGUUGUUAUCAAAGAAAAAAAAGUGGAAAAGGCCGGUGAAAUAUCAUCAGAACUGAAACUAGAAUUAAACAAAACUAAAUUAAAAUGAAAUGAAAUGGUGUCCAUUCUU